UGGCCGUGUGUCUCUGCUUGCGGCAGAGUG
rnacentral:sRNA from 1 species